rnacentral:rRNA from 1 species
AUUGAACGCUGGCGGCAGGCCUAACACAUGCAAGUCGAACGAGAGGCGGACGGGUGAGUUAUGUCUGGGAAACUGCGUGGGGGAGGGGGAUAGCUACUGGAAACGGUAGCUACUACCGCAUAGCAUCAGCUGGGCCGAGAUGGGAUUAGCUUGGUGGUGGGGUAACGGCUCACCAAGGCGACGAUCCCUAACUGGGCUGAGAGGAUGACCAGCCACACUGGAACUGAGACACGGUCCAGACUCCUACGGGAGGCAGCAGUGGGGAAUAUUGCACAAUGGGCGCAAGCCUGAUGCAGCCAUGCCGCGUGUAUGAAGAAGGCCUUCGGGUUGUAAAGUACUUUCAGCGGGGAGGCGUUACCCGCAGAAGAAGCACCGGCUAACUCCGUGCCAGCAGCCGCGGUAAUUC